UUUUGAUUUGCAUUUCUUGAAAGCAACAUCUUUUAUUAGAUAUGCUAACUGAAGAAAUUUUCUUUUUUCUGACUUGGGGUAUGCUGUGAAAGUUGUAAGAUAGAGUUGGGGUAGAAGUGGGAGAGUAGUGGUCAAGGUGAUGGUAAUGAUUGAACCAAACUCUGGACCUAUACAGGUCUGAAUUAAGCACACAGCCCCACCACUUCCUAGCAGCUGACCUUGGGUAACAUACUUAAGGCUGGAGACUGUGUUAUGUAUUGGGGUUAGUAACUCUUCCUCUCAUGGAUAGUAUAGAUGGGGCUCAGACGCUGCUCUUCCUCUCAUGUCAGCCUAUCCCUAGGGUGCAGGUCCUCAUCUCACUGCUGAAACAAGGAGAAGCUUGUUUUAAGCCACCAGCUUUAAGCUGUGGCAGAAAUCCAUCAGGAACACUAAUUCAGCAGUUGUUGGUUUAAGACAUACAAAUUGGUUUAAUUCUUAGGAAACUGCUUAUCAGGACAAAGAGAAAAAACAAAAGUGGUUGUCAUGUUGCUGGUAAGUAGUCUAUAUUUUGCUGUUCCACUUAUUAGUCAGGUGGUCUUGGACAGGUCACUUAUCCUCUCUGAGCCUUGGUCUCACCCCAGCUCCCCAUAUAGAGGUUGGGGAUGAUAACAUAGACCACACAGUAUGGUUGUGAGGUGAUGCAGUAUGUAAAGCCGGGCUGGGAACACAGGAGAUGUUCAGGAACCUUCUAUCUGACCUCCUGCAACAUGUCCAUGUUUAGAAAUGCCCUUUCAAUAACCCCUGGGGGGCAGAGAGAGAGAUCAUUCCACAGUGAUAACUCAUGGUAUUCUAUAUACUCUGCCCUUGCUUAUAUUCAGGAAAACACAUGCCAUAUUUACUUAAGAAGCUUCCUGACCUCUUUGUAGUUAUUAAAAGACCAGAAUGGAAAGGGAAAAUCAGAAGUUGUCCCUGAUUUAUCUGUGGCUGAAGGAGGAACUAGGGAGGUCCAGCGAGUAUCAUUAUUUCUUCCUCCAGGUGAACUGAUGAAGGCUUAGAAUAAAAAGGCUAUGUCAUGGCCUGGGUGGCCAAGCCUUGCCCCUUCACUUUCAUUAUAUAGUUAUCUGGUGUUUAAAGAGUGGUUUAAAGAUGGUUGACAGUCAUCAUGGCAACCAAGAAAAAAUGUAUGUGACCAAAAAAGCUACAUUUCAUUAAGUUUGGAAAAGAGGAAGUAUAUGUGUAGGAUUUAAUUAUUAUUUUUUAGAAAUUAAGGAAAAUCAUCCAUUCAUUCAGCCUUCGAAUAUUUAUUGACAGCUACGAUUGUGACAAACACCAUUCUAGGUACUGAGGAUACAAUGAUGGCUAAAAUAAAAAUUCCUGCCUUCCUUCAGUUUCUAUUUUGGUGGGGGAUGUAGAGAGCAAAUGAGAUAAAUUAGUAAGAUAUAUAGUAUACUAGGAAGUAGUUAGUGCUGAGGGGAAAAAUAAGGCAGAAAGGGGAACUAUAAAAUAUCAAGAGGAAUGUUAGACGGUGUCCAGGGAAAGUCUCAUUGAUCAGGUGCUUAAAGUAAAGACCUGAUGGAUCAGACAAACCAACCUGAGGAUGGCUGCAAACAGCUUUCAAGACAAGGGUCCUGAGAUGGGAGGCUACCUGGUGUACCUGAGGAAUGCCUGGAGGCCAGAGUGCAAGCUGAGCAGGGAGGGAAAGAGAUCAGGUCAAAGAGAAACAGGCCAGUUGAAUGGGGCCUGUAGACAUGGUAAGGACUUCAGCUUUCACUGGGAAUAAGAGGAAAAGCACCAGAGAGUUUGCGCAGAGGAAAGAUGUUAUACAACCAUUCUUACUGGGUGCUUGCUCUGUGAGAUUCUAUUUUAUUUUUUUAAUAUUUAUUUAUUUGACUGUGGCAGGUCUUAGAUGCGACAUAUAGGGGUCUCCAAUCUUCAUUUUUCGGCAUGCAAGCUCUUAGUUGUGGCAUGUGGGAUCUAGUACCCUGACCAGAGAGCCAACCCACGCCCCCUGCAUUGGGAGCAUGGAGUCUUAGCCACUGGACCACGAGGGAAGUCUGUAUUAGAUUUUGUUUUAAAUGCUUUAUUUGUAAUCCUCACAAUUAUCUUAUGAAGUAGGACCCACUAUCUUCUCAUUUUACAGCUGAGGAAACAGGGCCAGAGAGGUUAACUGACUUGCAUAAGAUCACACAGCUAGCAGGGAUGUGGUGAAAAUUUAGACCCUGGUCAACUCUUAACCACCUCAUUUUCUCCCCAAAUGCUUAAGAGAUUGAGACUGAGGUUUUGUGUUUUUUUUUUUCCAUUUCUUUAUAUCUGUAUUUCCAGAGCACACUAACAAUGAAAUCAUACUCAUUCAUAGAGAACUUCUUUGCUCAAACUGAUAAAUAUUCCCAAUAUUCUCCUUUAUGAUUCCAAGUUUUGUUUUGUUUUUUAAAAAAAAGCCUUCAAAUUAGCAUACUAACAAGCAUCUUGACAUGUCUUGCUUUAAUUAUGCAGACAGCAACUCCUUUUUUUGCUUCUAAUGUAGAGGUUGAUUGGGAAAAUUUUUAUUUUAUUGCUUACAAUCUUACCCUAGUGCUACCUAAAUCACUGCUUUAUGAUUUGGCAUCUAUAAUUUAUCAUUUUCCUCUGCUAUUAAAUGAAAUGCCCUUUAAAGCAUUCCAUAGCAAGGUGAACACAAGUCAAGCUUGCAAAGUUCUGGAAAAAAGAAUUGCAAAGAAUCAUUAAAGAAUAAUGAAAGUUGAUUUAAAUGGCAUACAAUAUCAGGGCUGCCCAGUUUAACAAAUAUAAUUAUUGCAAGUCAUUUUCAGAAGGCCUCUACAUUUCAGCAUCUAAUUUUCAUCAUCUUUUAAGGAAUAACAACAGAAAUGCCUUGCUGUUAUAAAGACUCUAAAAGCUGACUUUUUAUUUCAUUUCUCUGGAUUUCACUAAAGCUAAGCAUGAAACAAGAGACAGUUUAAAAUAUAGGAAACCCAGGUUCCUUUUACUAUUGUGUGGCUUUAACAUUCUACUGCUGUAGCCAAGAGUCCUUGGCUUCUGGGGCCAACUGUCUUUUGCAUGCUGAUUUUGCAGAGAGAGUCUCUCAGGAGUUAUUACUUUUGAGUAGUAUCUACAAUGACUUCAGUCUCUGCAGGAAGUGGAAGGCAGCAGAGUUUGGGAAUGAAAACACUGAGGGAGAAAUCUCUCCCGAUAGAAUCGUCAACUCAAUCUAAUUUUAGGUUUCAGGCAGACCACAUAGCUGUACCUUCAGCUACCUGCAAACAUAUGCGUCUCAAGUGCCCUCACUGAAGGACUGCAACCAGGACUUAAACAAAAAUAAUGAAGUUUUCUAUCAUAAUAUGUUUUAGUAAAUAGGUGAUGUGUGAGAGUGUGGGUGUGGGUUCACACACACAUGCAGGCAAACCAUGUGUGUGUACGCCACAUUCAAAUAGUGACAGCAUUCUGAAUAAGGGGAGAUGGUCCAGAAGGGUUUCUUUCUAUUUUUUAUCAACUCUUAUUUUUUUCUUUCCUGUGCUUCACAACCAAAAGGACUAGUAGUCCCAGGCUCAAGACCUCAGAAACUGUAUUAUUGAGUUAUGUGAAGCAGGAAUUUGAGACAUUUUUAGAAAUCACUUUUAUGUGGUAGCUAUUUUAAUAUUGAAACAACUAAAUCAAAGCUAAGAAAGGUCUUUUGAGAGGAAAUGGUUAAAAGGGCAUGUCUUUCCUUUUCUAAAAGGAAAACCACAGCAAGGAAUUCCAAUUAGGAAUAAAUUAAAGAGCACCACACUUUUCUGGAAGGGUCAGGAAGUCAAACUCUUGGCCUUGAGCGGCUUCUCACCCCCACCCCAGCGGACCCUGGGAACCAGUCACGCCCCGUCUCUGUGUGAGCUCAACACUGGCUGCCAAGUCUUGCCAUUCCUCUGCAGAAAAGAGCCAGGAUUUUCACCAGAGGCCUCCUGCCAGCAUCAGAAUCAGAAGGAGGUAGCCGAGGUGCCAGGGGGCUUUCUGGAGUGCCCCAAUGCCAGCUUUCUGUCUACAAAGGACAAUUCACUAAACUCGCUAAAGCCAAAUCUGACAUUUUAAAAAUGUCUCCGAAAUAAGCCUCGUAUGCUGUUUUGCUGCUAGAAGACCAGGCUCUCAUUUCCCAGAUUAUAUUUUCUUAAAUAGAAUUUCCUUAAAUUCGGCAGCACUUUUAAUCCAUGACACUCACUGGUAGGCAAGAAAAACAAUUCUGCCAUCUUCACAAUUGAUUUAAAGCUUACAGAUGUGACAUCUCCAUACAUUAUGUUGUGGUUAAUUGCCUUAUACUAAUAUCUGAGUAAUAUGUGUGUGUGUGUGUGUGUGUAUGAAUAUUGGUGUCAUGCUCAGUCAUGUCCGACUCUUUGAGACCCUAUUAGACUGUAGCCCACCAAACUUUUCUGUCCAUGGGAUUUUUCAGUCAUGAAUACUGGAGUGGGUUGCUAUUUCCUCCUCCAGAUAUAUAUAUAAAUGUUCUUUAGGUAACCUGUGUAAUUGACAUAUGGCUACUUGGGAAAUUGGGGCUAAAAGUGAGGUACCCCAAACAGCUGAAUUUGAUCAAGAUGCCAUGCACUCUUGACCUCUUUAAUAUGCUAUUUUGCUCUUUUGACAGCAUUCCAAAUCUGUUUGUCCUUCCAGGUCUAUCUCGGCUCCUGCUUUCAGCUCAGAUCCUUGCCUGGCCGUUUUAAUUCUCAUUGAGACCUCCCCUCUGGCACCACUUAAAGCCCUAUUACCUUUGCUGCUGCUGUGGCGUUUGGAUAUGUCAUAGUACACCAUCAUUUACUCACCAGCGUCCAAGGGCCAUGGGCUCUCUCUUCAGCCCCCGGCACAAUGCUUAGCCUGGUGCUCAGCGCAAGGGGAUGCUCCGUGGUACAAGUGAAGUGAACUGACUUAUAGCCUUUUUCAUCAUUUCCCCAAUGCUCGUAUCUAGGACUAACAUUUGCAUGAUUGCUCUUUAUUUCUCCAUUCAUUGUCUUAGUAACCAGAAACAUCUAGAAUGAGCUGCAAGUUAGACCACUCCUAGAAUAGAUUGGUCACCUGUGUCUUUUUGGCUUGGAUGUCACUGUUCCGAACAAUACGUGGAAAUGGGAGACAAGUUACAUCCCUUAUGAUUGCAGUCAAUGAAAAUAAAGAGAAAAAUAAAAUAAAAUAAUGGAGCAGAGAAAGAAAAUAUAGGAAAGAGUGAGAGGAAAAGAGACAGGGAAGAGGCAAAAAAAAAAAAAAAACCAACCAACCCACAAUCCUACCGGAUGAUGUAAAUACAUUCCCUCGUUUAAUGACAAAACCUAAAGGCUCCUUGCAAGUGUAUUUCAUGGGUGAUUACUUGAACAUCUUAAUCAUGUUUGCUCUUUUGGGAAAUUGUAUGCAGAAACCGCUGCCUUUCCAGUUUGAAUUAAGAAUAAACUGGAAAGGCAGUUCCUCUGGGAGAAAGGAAAAGCAAAGCCCGGGAACACUGGUGCACUGUAUGAGGCAGCAAGAGAUGACGACUCGGAAUCAGGCAGAGUUCUCUCUUCUGUGAUCAGCUUGCUCUGCCCUCAAUGAGUCCAAGAGAUUUCACAUUUUAUAGGUUGAGCUUCCCACUGGCAGCAACUGAAGCAGUUCAUUAUGCACAUCUGUCACGUGAUCCACUUCAUCAACCAAAUGGAACUGGGAGAAUAAGUCACCCUAACAAGAUCCUUCAGUACACUCUUAAAAACUACUUACAGAUGUACUCUUCCUCUGAGGGGAUACAAUGGGUUUCCUUGUACAGUGCCACACGAUACAGGAAAUGCAUUAUCCCCAUCCAAAUUCAGGCGUACCAGGAGGAAGCCUGAAAAGAAAGCAGCUCACAAAAGCACACACAGCUUUUGCAAAAGUCCUGAGAGGGGCUCAUACACCAAUUUAUGAUAACGGCAGAUAAAACCUCAAGCCUGUGAAGCUCAGUUCAUUGCAAAUGCUAAUGUCCACACAGGGAAAAGAAACCACAUCAGCACUCUGCAUCGACACAAAUGCUGCUAAUGCUUUUUAUUUAUGGUUGUCGCCGGUCCCCUCAGCAGUAUGCCAGAUAUCCAUUUGUGUGGUAACUUUGACUACUUUAUGUGCCUCCACGACUCACUGUGUUAUGUGCCCACAGGCAAUUUGUGCUUUCAAACUGUGUCUGGUGAGGCAAGCAGCCACACUGCUAAUCUUGAAUCAGGAACCAUCUUGUUCCCAUUCAGAUCACGUCAAACAAACACUUUUGUGGACACAUCCAGGAAUAGUUAACACCUGCCAUUGUGAAAUCUUCCUGUUUCAGUUGGGGUGAUCAAUUCAUCACUCAUUCAGUCAGGCAACAGAUAUUUAUUGAAUACCUACCACAUGCCAGGCACUGUUUCGGGCCCUGGAGAUAUAAUAAUGAACAGAGCCCUACCAUCAAAAAGAUUACAUUCUAGAGGGGGAUAGGAACAGACAGCAAAUAAAUAUGGAAUAUGUCAGAGGGUGUCAGUCAGGAUAGGCUAGUUGUUUUGUGGUUUUAAACAAGCCAAGUUUGAUGGCUUAAAAAAAAAAAAGUUUAUAUCCCUCACUUACACAGUGUAUUCAUCACCGACUGAAUGGACAUGAGUUUGAAUAAACUCUAGGAGAUAGUGAAGGACAGGAAGCCUGGCGUGCUACAGUCCAUGAGGUCACAAAGAGUCAGACCCGACUUAGUAACUGAAGAAGAACAACAUGGUGUGUUCAUUGCAGGGCAGCUGGGGUUCAGCUCCUUGCACCUUCACUCUGGGACCCAGGCUGCCUGGAGAAGCCCCACGUGGAGCACAGCCAAUCUCUGUGGGAGAGAGAGGAGACAGAGCAGUGAACGCCUGCACUGGCUUCCUCCUGAAAGCCACACAAGGCCCUUCCCCUCACACGGCGCAGGAGAGAGCAGCUUACGUGGAUGCACCCGACUUCAACAGGUAACAUACCUGCUUUGUACAACAACCUGUGCUGGACCACUGGACCACCUUCCUACAGAUCUUCAUCUCACCCAACCUGGGCUCUGAAAUAUCCUCUUCAGCCUGCCUGGAUGCCAACAUCUUGCACUAGGCUAUCCCUUUGAAGAACACGCCCACGCCCCUCGCCCCACGUGAGCUCUGAAACCUCCUGCUGAGCUAUCCUUCCCACCCUAAAUCCUCAGCCCACCUGGGCCAUCCCAUGCGGGGCCACCCUCUCAGCCUGUUGUGGCUCUGACGUGGAGCUAAGCCGAGCCUCUGUAGGAGUGGUCCUCUCCUCCUGCCUGCUUUUCUGGUGCUCUCAUUCUAUAAAGGUUUAUAUUAUCUGUGAGUAAUCACAGUGUUUCAAAAAUAAUAAUAAUAAUAAUAAUCACAGUGUUUCCUCAAACUAGAGGUCUGUGUAUGUAUUAUUGAUGAUCCAUCAGUAAUAACUUAUUUUUAUUUCAAUGAUGGUCUAAAAAACUUACAUUAUAAAAUAUAAGCAUAUCUGGGAUGUUCAUUUUACAACCAUAUUUAGUGUUGGUGCUUUGUGUUUAAAAUUGUGUUGGUACCACAUGAUUAUUAAUGUGGCAAUAUUUAACUUUUAAAGUGUCGGUAGUCUUUAAAUUGGCAUUUCUGGCAUCAAAAGGCAAAAACCAUCUUGAUUUCUGUUUGAUAAAAAUUAUAUUGAGUUAGCCUACCAAUUAAAAAGCUGAAACUGCUCUUUUUCAGUGA